rnacentral:rRNA from 1 species
GCAUAUCAAUAAGCGGAGGAAAAGAAACCAACAGGGAUUGCCCCAGUAACGGCGAGUGAAGCGGCAACAGCUCAGAUUUGAAAUCCGGCGCCCCCGCGGCGCCCGAGUUGUAAUCUGCAGAGGAUGCUUCUGGCGCGGCGCCUUCCGAGUGCCCUGGAACGGGACGCCAUAGAGGGUGAGAGCCCCGUCUGGUCGGACGCCCAGCCUCCGUGAAGCUCCUUCGACGAGUCGAGUAGUUUGGGAAUGCUGCUCUAAACGGGAGGUAUAUGUCUUCUAAAGCUAAAUACCGGCCAGAGACCGAUAGCGCACAAGUAGAGUGAUCGAAAGAUGAAAAGCACUUUGAAAAGAGGGUUAAACAGUACGUGAAAUUGUUGAAAGGGAAGCGCUUGUGACCAGACUCGGGCGCGGCGGAUCACCCGGCGUUCUCGCCGGUGCACUCCGCCGCGCCCGGGCCAGCAUCGGUUCGGCGCGGGGGACAAAGGCGCCGGGAACGUGGCUCCCCCGGGAGUGUUAUAGCCCGGCGCGCAAUGCCCCGCGGCGCACCGAGGUUCGCGCGGUGACGCAAGGAUGCUGGCGUAAUGGUCACCAGUGACCCGUCUUGAAACACGGACCA